GAUGAACGCUAGCGGAAGGCAUAAUACGUGCAAGUCGAACGGAUGUAGCAAUACAUUAGUGGCGCACGGGUGCGUAACGCGUAUGCAACCUACCUUCAUCAGGGGGAUAACUACCCGAAAGGGUGGCUAACACCGCAUAAUACUAUUGAGUGGCAUCACUUAAUAUUUAAAUCUGAGGAGGAUGAAGAUGGGCAUGCGUCUGAUUAGCUAGUUGGUGUGGUAACGGCGCACCAAGGCGACGAUCAGUAGGGGAACUGAGAGGUUGGUCCCCCACACUGGCACUGAGAUACGGGCCAGACUCCUACGGGAGGCAGCAGUAGGGAAUAUUGGUCAAUGGUGGGAACACUGAACCAGCCAUUCCGCGUGCAGGAAGGAGGGUCUCUGACUUGUAAACUGCUUUAGCAAGGGAAGAAAAAGCUCAUGCGUGAGAAAUUGACGGUACCUUGAGAAUAAGCACCGGCUAACUACGUGCCAGCCGCCGCAGUAACAC
rnacentral:rRNA from 1 species